GACGACGACUCCUACGGGAGGCAGCAGUGGGGAAUUUUGGACAAUGGGCGAAAGCCUGAUCCAGCAAUGCCGCGUGAGUGAAGAAGGCCUUCGGGUUGUAAAGCUCUUUUGUCAGGGAAGAAACGGUGAGAGCUAAUAUCUCUUGCUAAUGACGGUACCUGAAGAAUAAGCACCGGCUAACUACGUGCCAGCAGCCGCGGUAAUACGUAGGGUGCAAGCGUUAAUCGGAAUUACUGGGCGUAAAGCGUGCGCAGGCGGUUUUGUAAGUCUGAUGUGAAAUCCCCGGGCUCAACCUGGGAAUUGCAUUGGAGACUGCAAGGCUAGAAUCUGGCAGAGGGGGUAGAAUUUCAGGUGUAGCGGUGAAAUGCGUAGAGAUCUGAAGGAACACCAGUGGCGAAGGCGGCUCACUGGCUCGAUACUGACGCUGAGGUGCGAAAGUGUGGGGAGCAAACAGGAUUAGAUACCCUGGUAG
rnacentral:rRNA from 1 species